rnacentral:rRNA from 1 species
CAAUAGCGUAUAUUAAAGUUGUUGCAGUUAAAAAGCUCGUAGUUGGAUUUCUGGUGGGAGCGAUCGGUCUGGCGCUUAGCGCGAGUACUUGCAUCGUCUCCGGCCAUCCUUGGGGAGAGUCUGUCUGGCAUUAAGUUGUCGGGCAGAGGAUCCUCAUCGUUUACUGGGAAAAAAUUAGAGUGUUCAAAGCAGGCUUAUGCCGUUGAAUAUAUUAGCAUGGAAUAAUAAGAUAGGACUUUGGUACUAUUUUGUUGGUUUGCGCACCAAAGUAAUGAUUAAUAGGGACAGUUGGGGGUAUUCGUAUUCCGUUGUCAGAGGUGAAAUUCUUGGAUUUACGGAAGACGAACUACUGCGAAAGCAUUUACCAAGGAUGUUUUCAUUAA